GUGCUGGGGGUGGAGUGCGGGGAGGGCAGCACUCCUGGAGACUCAGAUCGGUUUUCAGGUUGUUUGCCCCAGCACUAAGCCGAGAAGUGAGCAAGGAGGGUUUGAAGCUUCAAGUCCACACCCAAGGUCUGCUCAGUGGGAAACCCUUCAUCCCUGAACCCACCAGCAAUUCCAGACCCAGGGGUGAAGGGAGGUGCAGGUGAGGGGGUUUGGCCAAGGCAUCCCCAGGGACAAGCACGGAUGACAGCAAGUGAGCUGAAAUCAACCUGAGCUUACACAGUGAGUCUUGCCAGUGCCUCCGAGGAAAGGUGACCUUGGGGAAGUGAGUGGUCAUCGGUUUCCUGUGUGCCCGGUCCUUCUGGAGAAAGAGUCUGGAA
rnacentral:lncRNA from 1 species